AAAAAUUCAAUCUUUCAAUUCCUCCCCAAAUUAUCUUCAAAUCCUGUCCUCUCCUGGGCGUUCAGAGGUCGCCUAUGCCGCCUACCACCACUCCAACCACUGUUGACCACCGGCCGGAAAUUGCCUCUAUCGGCGAAGUCAACCAAACAACCUCAAACCAUUAUUUUUCUUCUCCUCUCCUCCCCCUCUACACUCUUCUGCCCCAAAUGUCACUCCAUCAUUACCAAAUUCGAAACCCUAUCCUGUUCGUUCCCUUCUUGAUUUCAUCGACCAUCAUCGAUCAACAAGUCUUAAUAGUUACAUCAUUAGAUAGGUCUUAGAGAGAUCAAUCUAGUAAUUUAAGUAUCUAUUCAUUCAAUGAAUGUCGGUGCCGAUCAACUCAUCAUUGAUCGACCGGAGUUCAUGCAAAAGCCCAUCCAUGCCACUGCCUAACCUCCCAAUAGCCCUUACUCAUGGUAGAUCCACCCAUUGGUGGAAAUUCGUAAGUAAUAAAGCUUUAAACUAGCUAAGUGAAUAUGAAGUUCAAGGUGGUUCUAAUGGAGAAAGGUCCGUUGGUGGUUAGAUACCACCAAAUCAUGCACCAUCUAGUCUCACCUGGUUCUACUUUACUCCGAUAGGUACACUCUUCUCUUUUGUUUCUUUUGUGUUUAUUAUUAUUAUUAUUGUUGUUGUUGUUGUUGUUGUUUGUUAUUGUUGUUGUUGUUGUUGUUGUUUUUGUUGUUGUUGUUGUUGUUGUUAUUUUUUGGUUUCUUUUUAUCUCUACUUAGUUAAGAAAGGCACACAUGACUAUCUACUAAUUUUAUAUUAGUUGUUAACCACGAUUAGUAGCAGCCACUGCAUGUUAAGAGCAUUUAGACUUCUUAAGCGAUUGUUUGAAUGCAUUUGAUGUUGGUCACAUGAUUAAUUAUCACUAAGCAUGUUUAAUUGUGUUAAUUUCAUGUUUUAGUCAUUAACUUCUUUUAACUUUAGUAUUUGGUCACUGUCGUUUAUUAGCAUGACAAAAUAGUUUCUUAACUUGAUUCUGCGAUUUUGUUCAAUAAUGGACAUGCCUUUUAGGAUUUAGGUAUUUCUAAAUUGGACUUAGGAAGUUUGACUGAUUAAGCAAAAGAUUUGAUAAAAGGGGUAAUGGAUCCAUGCCCAAUCUUAUGUGGUCAGGUAGGUUUAAAAUAAAAAAAAGAGAUAACAAUGAUAGGUAAAGUGAAGAACGUAAAAAGGCAUUCCUCAAAAGAAAGCUAAGAAAUACAAAAUGAAUAAAUUAAUGUUUGGCUUGAUCAUCUACUUGCCAUCCCCACGCCGCCCGUGGUCACAAAUUUGAUUCGAAGUUAGGUUUCCAAUUCAUAUCCUCCAAGUGGAGUGAAAAGUAACGGAGUUGGUAAGCGUCGUGCCACGACAUUAAAUGCGGCGCUUGGUAGGAGGCAACCCAUCGUCUCCAAAAUUUUAAGUCAUUUUUUAAAUUUUCAUUUUUAGAAUAGGUUAGUAUAUUAUUUUUGACUAAUCUGCAGAGUUUUAGAAUUUUCAGAGUUGAUUUGAGAAGUUUGAGGUGUUGGAAGAACAACAAACAGUGGAUUCCCAAUUUUCUAUCUAGACUUUAGUUUAACCGCAUCUUCAGAAAUAUUCUCGCAGGUGCAGAACCACAGAAGCGAGAAAAGUAUAGUAGAAGCGAAACUUACACAGAAGUAGAUUCCUAACCGCAUAAGCGGAGCCGCAGAAAUGUUCAAAUAUCUGUAGAUGCGACUCGUCGGAUAAUUUUAAAGAUCCAAUAUGCCCUUCAGCAGGUCAGAGUCUGAACUCUAUUCUCCCAACCCAAAACCCCUCUCAUAUUUCACACAAGGAAACUAUUACUCGAAUCCUACUGCCUACACACAAGGAAAUCAGGUAAUCAUCUUUUUCCCUUUGUCUCUUAGCUACUCUCUCUUUUUCCCCGAUUUUCUUCUUCUCUCGUUAUCUUAUACUUUUAUGCAUAGCUAUUUCCCACAGCCUCUUUAUCCCAUCUCGAUAAUUGUUAGUGUUCGGGUGAGGAAAAUUGGUUAAGUGUAGUUGUAGAAGUCUGAGUACCCGAUUACUUUAAAGGAUCAAAACUCUCUCGUUUCUUGCUAAGUGUUCGGUGAUUUAUUCGAGAGAAAUUUAUGUGCUAAGUGCCUUGAGAUCAUGUGUAAUCAAGUUGUGUAAUCAUGUAGUGCACAAAUUUAGAAGUCUUGAGUAUAACUUUUGUGCCAAAAACGUGAUUUGAAUUGAAAAGAGUCGACAGUUUCUGGGCCCUUCAAAAUCUAGUGAAAAUCGCUUUUGUGAAGUAAAGGCUGCAUAUGCGUCCUGCACCUAUGAUGAAUUGUUAAGCAAGUGCGAAAUUGGCUGAGAUGUGAAAAACCGAAGAAGCAAGACUUUUACCACAUAUGUGGAACCGAACUUGCGAUGAAAGUUCUGCAGGUGCAAGUUUAUGUUGAGCAGUGAAAAUCAUAGAAGCGGAACCGCACCUGCGAUGCUUCUUCCGCAGGUGCGAUGACUGGCCAAUUUUUGCAAAACUAGUAGCUUUGCAACUAUGGCUUGCUCGGCCCAUUUGGCUCGAUUCUUUGGACUAAUUGAUGUAUUUUGAAUUUCUUAACAUGACUAUAAUGCCCGACUAAUUUUGUUUUGAUUUUUUAGGUACUUUGAACUUAAAAUAUGGACCCAAAGAUGAAUGAAAAUAUGGCACAUGAUCUUGAAAUUGAAGAAGAGGCUGUAGAAGAGCAAUUCGACAAUUAUCGCUUCAUGUCCAUUGAUUGUCACCACUGAUACUAUGACAAUCUUCUUAUAAAGAAGGUCCUACUGGAAAAGGGGAUCUUUGGGGAUAGAUUGGCCGAGCUACUUCCAGAUUUCUAUGACCGUCUAUAGACCACUGGUUGGAAUUGUUUCAUGCCUACUCCGUGUGAUGAAAAUUAGGAAUGGGCUUGUGAGUUUUACACCAACCUUAAGUGUAUAAACUUCAACGACCCACAACUCACCAUAAGGGCAAAAUAGUGUGAUUUGGACUUGAGCAGAUCAAUGAUGUUUUUUGGGCUUCCAAAGCAUCCACUUGAGUCGGUACGAGAAAAAAAAAUAUGCUCAAAUAGAGAGUGGCUAGCAUCUAAAAGUUAUCCCUCAAACAAGAGAGCGAAGUGGGCCAACAAGAGGAAGGGUUUAAAAUUCGUUGACUUCACAGCUGAGGUCAAGAUAUGGCUUUACAUCAUCUGUAAUGGAGUCUCUUCUUAUGGCAAUGUCUCUGAUGUUUCAUAUGUCAGGUGCAUGAUGAUUGCAUGCAUACUUGAUGGCAUUCAUGUAAAUGUCAAUUAUUAUAUCUUUUAGGAGCUAAAAGAGUACUUGCUACAAGACAAUCCAAGCUCGAUGUUCCCUUCGUUAAUCAUAGAGUUAUGUCGGCAGGCAGAUGUUGAUGUGCGUAGCACCUAUCGUUAGUUACCGGCCAACAAAUCCUUUCAUCUAUUGAGAGUGACUGGUGAGGGUAGUGCAGUAAAAAGCAAGAAGAGGAAGAUCACCACAGUUGUUUGACCAGAGUCCUCACAGGGAUACUACCCGAGGGACCAUUUGGGAUGCUGAAUUCCUAGCUUGUCUCCAUUCGUGACUUAGUGUUACAACUCCCGAAUGGACUCUCGCACUCCUGGUCUAUGCCUGAGUAUUGUACUAAAGAAGAGAUGAAGACAUAGGUAGAGGACCAGAAACAACAGGCAGAGUCUCAUGAGAAGUUAGCAGAUUCUAUUAGCAGGCUCGAGGCAGCAUAUGGCAAUAUGGCCAAGGUCCCUGAUGAUCUUCAGGAAGACUUUCAAAAGGAGAAAUAGAAAAAUAAGAAGAAGGAAAAAUUCAUGAUAAAGAUGUGAAGAGGCAUCAAGGCCAUCUUCAAAUGGGGGCAGCUAAAAAAGAAGAUACCGGUCAAGGACAAAGACGACAGUGAGGAGUAUUCCUUCUUGUUCAAUGAUGAUAAUGUUGAUGAUUACACUCAAAUUACACCUAUAUAAAUGGUGUAAGACGGUCUAUACCAAAUAUAAUAAUCUAACUAGGUUGGGGUCAAAUCCCACAGGGAAUAGGUGUGAAAAGGUUACUUGAGUAGUGUGAAACUUGACUUAAGCCGUAGUUCUACUCCGUUAGUUUAAAAAGAGCUUUGUAAUUGUGAAUUGUCAAGAAAAGUUAUUUUGUUAAGAGAAUUGAUUAAUUUGAUUAAGAAACCAAGGUUGUGUCUCCAUCAAUGGAAUAUGAUACUAUCGGUAUUAAUAUGACAUAUUUCUAAUGGAAGGACUUUUGCUAUGAAAAUGGUUCCUAAAUGACUACCCAAUAUUUUUCAAUAAGUUGGUAGUAUUUCCUCUUUAUGAUUUUCCCAAAUAUAAAAGAGUUACAAUUGAGAACAACCAAUUUAUGCCAAGUAGAACCCACUUAUCCCUAAGCGAUUCUAUUAAAUAAGGUUUAAAGCCUUGAGUUCCUGCUAUUCAAUUCUACCAAACACUAACCCAGUUUUCCAAGUAAAGAUAGAGUAANNNNNNNNNNNNNNNNNNNNAUAUUAAAUGAUAAACACCCAUUAACAUUACACCCACUUAGGGUCCACAACCUUAGUAUUUAAAGUUAGUUACUCAUACUAGAAUACAAGAACAAAGUAAUAAAUAAAGUCAUAAAGCUUACAAAGAUGACAAAGUCUUGGAUUCUCUAUCAAAAGCUUCCAAAAUAAUGGUGUAUUCAAUUCUCUAAGUGUAGCCUCUUUUUCAGACAAGAUGGUCCACAAAAACUCUAGUAAUUCUAUUUAUUAUGGCCCAAAAUUCCUGGACAAAAAGUGAUAAAAAUGACCCUCCAGGUUAAGUCCGCGACCGCAAAAUGGGCCGCAGAAUGAAAUCCAUAGUAACCCGCUCCCAUUUCCACUCUGGAAUCUCUAGCCUCUGAAGCAAUCCACUUGGCUGCUGAUGCUCAUACUUCACCUGUUGACAAUUUAGGCACCAAGUUACAUACUCCACUAUGUCUUUCUUCAUCCUCCACCACCAGUAGUGCUGCCUCAAGUCCUGAUACAUCUUAGCAGCACCCGGAUGAAUGGAGUACCGCGAACUGUGGGCUUCCUAAAGAAUCAACUCAUGCAAACCAUCUAUAAUGAGCACACAUAGCCUGCCCUGCAUCCGUAACACACUGUCAUCCCCGAUAGUGACCUCCUUGGCAUCCCCGGGCUAAAUUGUGUCCUUGAGGACAAGUAGAAGGGGUUGUCAUACUGACGCUCUCUGAUACGAUCAUAUAGAGAAGACCGAGAAACCACAUAUGCCAAAACUCGACUCGGCUCCGAAAUAUCCAAUCUAACAAACUGGUUGGACAAGACCUGAACAUCCAAUGCUAAUGGCCUUUCUGCUGCCCGUAGAUAUGCUAAACUUGCCAAGCUCUCCGCCUUACGACUCAAGGCAUCAACCACCAUAUUAGCCUUCCCGGGAUGAUACAGAAUGGUGAUAUCAUAGUCCUUAACCAACUAUAACCAUCUCCGCUGCCGCAAGUUAAGAUAUUUCUAUUUGAACAGAUGUUGUAGAAUCUGGUGGUCAGUAUAAACCUCACAAGAGACAAUGUACAAAUAGUGCAGCCAAAUCUUCAAGGCAUGAACAAUAGCUGCUAACUCAAGGUCAUGGACAUAAUAGUUCUUCUCAUGUAUCUUCAGUUGUCUAGACGCAUAGGUAAUAACCCCACCGUCCUGCAUCAACAUCGCGCCGAGGCCAACAUGUGACGCAUCACAGUACAUAGUGUAAGACCCUGAACCCGUAGGCAACACCAACACUAGGGUUGUAGUCAAAACAGUCUUGAGCUUUUGAAAUCUCUCCUCACACUCGUUCCACCUCAACGAAGAACCCUUCUGGGUCAAUAUGGUUAUAGGUGCAGUAAUAGAUGAGAAACCCUCUACGAAGCAACGAUAAUACCCUGCCAAACCAAGAAAACUCCGGAUCUUAGUAGUUGAAGACGGUCUAGGCCAACUCUGCACUGUAAAAACCUUCUUAGGAUCUACCUUGAUCCCCUCACUCGACGCUAAAAGACCCAAAAAUGCCACUGAAUCAAGUCAGAAUUCACACUUUAAAAUUUUUGCAUACAACUUAUUUUCUCUCAAGGUCUGGAGCAUGGUCCUCAGGUGCUGCUCAUGAUCCUCCCGGCUCCAGGAGUACACCAAGAUGUCGUCAAUAAACAUAAUGAUGAAUGAGUCAAGAUAUGGUUGGAAUACACUGUUCAUCAAGUGCAUGAAUGUUGUUGGGGCAUUGGUCAGCCCAAAUAAUAUCACAAGGAACUCGUAAUGACCAUACCGAGUCAUGAAGGCAGUCUUCGGAAUAUCGGCUCCCGAAUCUUGAACUGAUGAUAGCCUGACCACAAUUCAAUCUUUUAGAACACUCUGGUACCCUGUAGCUGAUUCAAUAGGUCAUCAAUACGAGGAAAUGGAUACAUGUUCUUCACUGUAACCUUGUUCAACUGUUGAUAAUCAAUACACAUGCGCAUAGAACCAUCCUUCUUCAUUACAAAGACAUAAGUGUUAUGCGUAAUUGGAGAAUGUGAUUUGAAGAUGAUACCGAUGCUAAUUGGAUUUUAAAUGUUAGAACCUCAUUGAGUUUGUGGUUUUGAUUUUAAAUGACCACUCAUUUUAGUCUCCUUUGCUUUAGUUUUUGUAUCAUUUUAUUAUAAUAUAAGGUUAUUUAUGGUGUGCAUUUCCAGAUUUUCAGGUACAAUGUCUUAAGCAGAGAAUCAAAAUCAAUUGAAGUGAAAUGGAGCUAAAAUAGUUGAAUCAGUUAAACUGCAUCCACUAAAAUUGUAUUUGUGCAAAAUGCUCCGCAUCUGCGAGAAAUGGUCUACAUCAGCGGAAGAAGAGUUAUGAGGUUGAAAUUGUAGUUGCGAACGAUGCAUCACAUCUGCAAUAUCACUUUUGUGCUGGAAGUUUGCUUCUACGGACUCGCUUCUGUGUUGAUAUGUCCGCUUCUACGGAGUAACCAAAAUUGCACAAGACUUGCAUCUGCGAGUGAUUGAUAAAUUCCGAUUUGAGUAAAUUGAUCAUAUGUAGCAGACUAGUGCUUUUGAGUCAUUUCUUGAGGCUUAGUUGUUGUCACUUGAUUAUUUUGAAACUCCAUUGCAUUCUUGAGAUUGUUUUAAAUGAGGGCAUUAUUUGGUUGAUAUUCACAUGCUUGAGCCUAAUUAUUAGUACUAACCAAAGUCAUAAAUGAUGUGCGUAAUUGGAGAAUGUGAUUUGAAGAUGGUAGCGAUACUAAUUGAAUUUAAAAUGUUAGAGACUCAUUGAGUUUAUGGUUUUGAUUUGCUUGAGGACAAGCAAAGACUUUAAGUUAGGGGUGUUGAUGAGUGGUGAUUUUACCACUCAUUUUAGUCUCCUUUGCUUUAGUUUUUGUAUCCUUUUAUUAUAAUCG
rnacentral:lncRNA from 1 species